GUGGUAUGGAUUUUGACCUGCCUUCCUGGUAUGGAUUUUGACUUGCCUUCGUGGUAAGGAUUUUGACCUGCCUUCGUGGUAUGGAUUUUGACCUGCCUUCGUGGUACGGAUUUUGACAUGCCUUCGUGGUAUGGAUUUCGGAUACGCACUUGUAGUAUGGGUUUGAUUUGUGGAUUGACAAUUGAGAGUUAUUGGUAUUAUGGAGUGGUGGUGUAGUGAUGAAUAAUGGUUUAUUGAAUCUCAUGGAUUGUGUUGCAUUGAAUGAUGUAGAGUUCCUGUUUAACUAUGUUCUAAUGUUAUUAUCCUAUGUAAACCCACCAUGUUAUAUAUUGCAUGUAUUUAAUGACUGACUCUUUCUAUGUUGUCUUGUUUACUCAAUCCGUGGUAACCGGGUUGUAGGUGGAGCUCAGGGAUAAGAUAUUGCAGAGUCAUGGAGUGAACUAGCUUGCUUUGAUUGUGGCGUGUUAUUUCCGAGUUUUCUAGUAAAAUGUUUAGGUUGAUAUUGGACCCGAUUUUAUCGAUACUAUUGGAGUAUUCCUGGUUGAAAGGAAAUUUUCAAUGAUAUGAAAUUUCAUUAUGUUAGAAAAUGAAUUAAAUUUUCCGUGUUGAUAAUUUGAGGUGUUACAGAAUUUAUUUGGAAAUAGGCAAAAUUCUUGCUCCAGGUAAAAAUUAGUCAUUUAAUUAUAUAAUCAAUAAUUAUUUUUUUUGGUGAGAAUAUCCAUCAAUUUAUACAAUUCAUUAUAUAUUUAUUUCCACAAGUAUACAUUUCAAAUAAUGCUUUAAAUUUAUUUUUUACUACUAUAACAUGGUCUUUCACCAAGACACAUUUUGUAUUAUUUAUUAACUAUUGAACAUUAACGCUAGUAUAAUAUAUAUGUAUAUUAAAUUUUAUUAGUAAGCGAUUUAAUUAGUAAACUAUUUAUUGAACCACUAUAUUAUCAUACCAAUAUCCUAACCGAUAUAAUAUUAAUAACACGAAAAGUCAUAUUUAUCUUUCUUUUUUUUGUUUGUUAAGUUUUGAUAGUAUAUCUGACCUCCUAGUCACUUUGAUACCAAACAUAAUACUAUGACUUCUUCCUUCAUAAACUUCAAAGUAAAUUACACUCAUACCUCCUGAGAUUUACUGAAAUUACAUAAAUUACCCCUUACUUUUUUGUCAUUACACGAACCACCCCUAAUUUUGUACAUAUGUUACACUAACUACCCUUGCAUGAUAUAAAAGUGUAAUAUUUUAAACAAAAAACGUAUAAUGUGUGUAAUUAAUUAAACAAAAUAUUGUAUAUUGUGUAGACAAAUUCAAAUAAUAUAAAAGUCAAUGCGUCUUCAUUAUUUGGCUCGUUAUAAAAUAGUAUAAGAGUUAUUUAAAUAUUUGUUUGAAAUUUAUAAUAUAUUUUUUAAUGACACAAAAAUAAUAAAGAAACACACGCUUUUGUACUAUUUGAAGUGUACACAAUAUACAAUAUUUUGUUUAACUUAAUUACAUUCAUCACACGUUUUUUCUUUAAAAUAUUACACUUUUAUAACAUGCAGGGGUAGUUAGUGUAAUUUAUGUAUAAAUCUAGGGGUAGUUUGUGUAUGAGGGAGGAGUGGUUGGUGUAAAGACAAAUAAUGGAGGGGUGAUUUGUGUAAUUUCAUUAAAACUCAAAGGUUGUGAGUAUAAUUUACUCAAAAUUUAUGGAACAUUUAAUGUAUUGAAAAGAUGCUUGUUUUCUUUCAUUUUCAUUCGUUGUUCUUUAAUUGCAUAUUGCCAAGAGAAAGUUGGAUUAAUAAUUAAACACCAUCUUUCCCCAAUUACAAUCUUUGAGUAUUCGAUUGAAUCUUACUUUUU
rnacentral:sRNA from 1 species